GGAGGGAGCUAGCGUUAUUCGGAAUUACUGGGCGUAAAGCGUACGUAGGCGGUUAUUCAAGUCAGAGGUGAAAGCCCGGGGCUCAACCCCGGAACUGCCUUUGAAACUAGGUAGCUAGAAUCUUGGAGAGGUCAGUGGAAUUCCGAGUGUAGAGGUGAAAUUCGUAGAUAUUCGGAAGAACACCAGUGGCGAAGGCGACUGACUGGACAAGUAUUGACGCUGAGGUACGAAAGCGUGGGGAGCAAACAGGAUUAGAUACCCUGGUAGUCCACGCCGUAAACGAUGAUAACUAGCUGUCCGGGCACUUGGUGCCUGGGUGGCGCAGCUAACGCAUUAAGUUAUCCGCCUGGGGAGUACGGUCGCAAGAUUA
rnacentral:rRNA from 1 species